rnacentral:rRNA from 1 species
AGAGUUUGAUCAUGGCUCAGAACGAACGCUGGCGGCGUGGAUAAGACAUGCAAGUCGAACGAGAAACUUUUGGAGCUUGCUUUGAAAGUUUCUAGUGGCGGACGGGUGAGUAACACGUGAGCAACCUGCCCUAAAGUGGGGGAUAGCCCGAGGAAACUCGGAUUAAUACCCCAUGUGGUUUUACGACUAAAGGAGCUUCGGCUUCGCUUUAGGAUGGGCUCGCGGCCUAUCAGCUUGUUGGUGAGGUAAUGGCUCACCAAGGCGACGACGGGUAGCUGGUCUGAGAGGACGAUCAGUCACACUGGAACUGAGACACGGUCCAGACACCUACGGGUGGCAGCAGUCGAGAAUCAUUCGCAAUGGACGAAAGUCUGACGGUGCGACGCCGCGUGGAGGAUGAAGGCCCUUGGGUCGUAAACUCCUGUCAUCAGGGAGUAAAGCAUCUGGGAGGUAAUGCCUGGAUGCCUGAUAGUACCUGAAGAGGAAGAGACGGCUAACUCUGUGCCAGCAGCCGCGGUAAUACAGAGGUCUCAAGCGUUGUUCGGAAUCACCGGGCGUAAAGCGUGCGUAGGCUGCAAGGUAAGUCAGAUGUGAAAUCUUAGGGCUCAACCCUGAAACUGCAUCCGAUACUGCCCUGCUAGAGUAGUGGAGGGGAGUCUGGAAUUCUCGGUGUAGCAGUGAAAUGCGUGGAUAUCGAGAGGAACACUAGUGGCGAAGGCGAGACUCUGGACACUUACUGACGCUGAGGCACGAAGGCUAGGGUAGCGAAAGGGAUUAGAUACCCCUGUAGUCCUAGCAGUAAACGGUGCGAGCUUGGUGUAGGAGGAUUCGACCCCUUCUGUGCCGGAGUUAACGCGUUAAGCUCGCCGCCUGGGGAGUACGGCCGCAAGGCUAAAACUCAAAGAAAUUGACGGGGACCCGCACAAGCGGUGGAGUAUGUGGCUUAAUUCGAUGCAACGCGAAGAACCUUACCUAGGCUUGACAUGCAUGUCGUAGUCUCCUGAAAGGGAGACGUCACUCCGGGUGGACUUGCACAGGUGCUGCAUGGCUGUCGUCAGCUCGUGUCGUGAGAUGUUUGGUUAAGUCCAGCAACGAGCGCAACCCCUGUGUCCUGUUGCCAGCACGUAAUGGUGGGGACUCUGGACAGACUGCCCAGAUCAACUGGGAGGAAGGUGGGGAUGACGUCAAGUCAGUAUGGCCCUUAUGCCUAGGGCUGCACACGUACUACAAUGCUCAGCACAGAAUGAUCCGAGACCGCGAGGUGGAGGAAAUCUUCAAAACUGGGCUCAGUUCGGAUUGGAGGCUGCAACUCGCCUCCAUGAAGUCGGAAUCGCUAGUAAUGGCGCAUCAGCUACGGCGCCGUGAAUACGUUCCCGGGUCUUGUACACACCGCCCGUCACAUCAUGGAAGCCGGCCACACCCGAAGUGUCUACAAUAAGAAG